rnacentral:rRNA from 1 species
UCUGAGAGUAACUGUUCAGGUAUUGACGGUAUUUAACCAGAAAGCCACGGCUAACUACGUGCCAGCAGCCGCGGUAAUACGUAGGUGGCAAGCGUUGUCCGGAUUUAUUGGGCGUAAAGCGAGCGCAGGCGGUUUUUAAGGUUCUUGAUGUGAAAGACCUUCGGCUCAACCGAAGAAGUAGCAUCGGAAACUGGGAAACUUAGAGUGCAGAAGAGGACAGUGGAACUCCAUGUGUAGCGGUGAAAUGCGUAGAUAUAUGGAAGAACACCAGUGGCGAAGGCGGCUGUCUGGUCUGUAACUGACGCUGAGGCUCGAAAGUAUGGGUAGCAAACAGGAUUAGAUACCCUGGUAG